GAUGAACGCUAGCUACAGGCUUAACACAUGCAAGUCGAGGGGAAACGACAUCGAAAGCUUGCUUUUGAUGGGCGUCGACCGGCGCACGGGUGAGUAACGCGUAUCCAACCUGCCCACCACUUGGGGAUAACCUUGCGAAAGUAAGACUAAUACCCAAUGAUAUCCCACGAAGACAUCUGAAUGGGAUUAAAGAUUUAUCGGUGAUGGAUGGGGAUGCGUCUGAUUAGCUUGUUGGCGGGGUAACGGCCCACCAAGGCAACGAUCAGUAGGGGUUCUGAGAGGAAGGUCCCCCACAUUGGAACUGAGACACGGUCCAAACUCCUACGGGAGGCAGCAGUGAGGAAUAUUGGUCAAUGGGCGAGAGCCUGAACCAGCCAAGUAGCGUGCAGGAAGACGGCCCUAUGGGUUGUAAACUGCUUUUAUAAGGGAAUAAAGUAGGUCACGUGUGACUUUUUGCAUGUACCUUAUGAAUAAGGACCGGCUAAUUCCGUG
rnacentral:rRNA from 1 species